AACCAGCACCUCAAGUGGUCAGGAUGAUUAUUGGGCCUAAAGCAUCCGUAGCCGGCUCUGUAAGUUUUCGGUUAAAUCUGUACGCUCAACGUACAGGCUGCCGGGAAUACUGCAGAACUAGGGAGUGGGAGAGGUAGACGGUACUCGGUAGGAAGGGGUAAAAUCCUUUGAUCUAUUGAUGACCACCUGUGGCGAAGGCGGUCUACCAGAACACGUUCGACGGUGAGGGAUGAAAGCUGGGGGAGCAAACCGG
rnacentral:rRNA from 1 species